UACGGAGGGUGCGAGCGUUGUCCGGAAUCAUUGGGCGUAAAGGGCGCGUAGGUGGCUCGCCAAGCGGGCGGUGAAAGCCUGGGGCUCAACCCCGGGUCGGCCGUGCGAACUGGCGAGCUGGAGCACUGUAGAGGCAGGCGGAAUUCCUGGUGUAGCGGUGAAAUGCGCAGAUAUCAGGAGGAACACCGGUGGCGAAGGCGGGUCUCUGGGCCGAUACUGACGCUGAGGAGCGAAAGCGUGGGGAGCGAACAGG
rnacentral:rRNA from 1 species